ensembl:snoRNA
UCAAUCCCUCUCACUGCUUGGAGGCUUAGGUAGUGGGAUGUUAGUCCAUCAUAUAUCUAAGCUGACUUGUCUUCACUGAGAGCACUAUGAGGAUGGUUGGCUGUCCAUUAGUGCCUUCUGAUUUUUGCUGAGUCAAACAAUU